UACGAGGGGGGCAAGCGUUGUUCGGAAUUAUUGGGCGUAAAGGGUGCGUAGGCGGCCGCGCGCGUGGCGGGUGAAAUCUCUCGGCUUACCCGGGAGGGUGCUUGCCAGACGGCGUGGCUUGAGGGACGGAGAGGGGCGUGGAAUUCCGGGUGUAGCGGUGGAAUGCGUAGAGAUCCGGAGGGAGACCGGUGGCGAAGGCGGCCUGCUGGGCAGUUACUGACACUGAUGCGCGACAGCGUGGGGAGCAAACAGG
rnacentral:rRNA from 1 species